AUAUCUGCAGCUGUACAAAAGAAAGCUAAUGAGAAGAUCUAUGAUUAGGUUUUCCCAGGGCGAGGCUCAUCCCCUGCACUCCGGGUGUGCUGACCCCUGUUAUUUCCCCAAAUGUGGGAAACUCGACUGCAUAAUUUGUGGUAGUGGGGGACUCUGUUCGCAGUUUCUCUUG
rnacentral:snRNA from 1 species